ensembl:snRNA U4 U4 spliceosomal RNA
AGCUUUGCACAGUGGCAGUAUCGUAGCCAGUGAGCUUUACCCGAGGCGCGAAUAUUGCUAGUUAAAUAUUUAUAAAAACCUUUCGAGCAGCACCUGAACAAGAAUAGGUUUAGAGGAGCUCUGGUCGUCUGAGUUUGUGCUUGUCCCAGGGUGGGGA